rnacentral:lncRNA from 10 species
UAAACCUCUUUCUUUUGUAAAUUGCCCAGUCUUGGGUAUGUCUUUAUCAGCAGUGUGAAAGCAGACUAAUACAGGAACACCAUGGGGAAGUCACCGUAUCCUCUGGCUCCAGUGCUGGGGGUUGGGCGGGGGCCCCUUGGGCGGGCUCAGUGGCCACCCGGUGUAGGGCCAGCGUGGGUGGGACACUGCGGAGGGAGGAUGCUCACCCUGGCAGGCGGAGGAGCUCUGCUGUGGCUCCCCUGGG